AUUGAACGCUGGCGGCAUGCCUUACACAUGCAAGUCGAACGGUAACAGGUCUUCGGAUGCUGACGAGUGGCGAACGGGUGAGUAAUACAUCGGAACGUGCCUAGUAGUGGGGGAUAACUACUCGAAAGAGUGGCUAAUACCGCAUGAGAUCUACGGAUGAAAGCAGGGGAUCGCAAGACCUUGUGCUACUAGAGCGGCCGAUGGCAGAUUAGGUAGUUGGUGGGAUAAAAGCUUACCAAGCCGACGAUCUGUAGCUGGUCUGAGAGGACGAUCAGCCACAGUGGGACUGAGACACGGCCCAGACUCCUACGGGAGGCAGCAGUGGGGAAUUUUGGACAAUGGGCGCAAGCCUGAUCCAGCAAUGCCGCGUGCAGGAUGAAUGCCUUCGGGUUGUAAACUGCUUUUGUACGGAACGAAAAGCCCCGGGUUAAUACCCUGGGGUCAUGACGGUACCGUAAGAAUAAGCACCGGCUAACUACGUGCCAGCCGCCGCGGUAA
rnacentral:rRNA from 1 species